GCCUGCUUUUGCUCUUCCUCCUGGAGUGUUGAAGAUGAAAAAAAAAGGCAGAGGAAAAAAGGAGAGAAAUUAAUGCCCAUUAAUGCCCAUCACCACAAACAUUGGUCAGAAAUGAUAGAAAAAUCAGGCAAACCAGGCCAGGCCCACAGGUGCUGAGAUCAAAGGCCCCAUCCCCCACAGGAGCAUCAGAGGACGAAGCAAGCAGCAGGCCUCGGCCCGGUGAGUGAUUCAAUGCUAACUCCUAGAGCUAGAAGGAAAGAACCUUAGAAACCACCUCGCCAACAUUCUUACUAUAGAUCAAACAGGCCUAGAGGGCCUGACCUGCCUAAGGUUCACAUAGCUAUUUAGGGGAAUCUGAAAGAGGAAGUGCAACCAUGACUUGAAAUUGUAAUAAUAAUUCUAUAUUCAUCAUUCACGAUAUUCACAUGUGUUUAGGUACAUUUAUCGAGGCAAGUGGUUUUUGAUGCAUGGAACACAGACCAGCAGCAUCGGCAUCACCUGGGAACUUGUCAGAGAUGUAAACUUUGUGCCUCACCCUAUCCCCACCAAACCGAAGCUCUAGGGGUGGGCCACAGCAAUGCGUUCAAUCUUGUCUCUGAUUCUGGUGCAUACAAGUCUGAGACCCACUGCCCUCAUCACUUCCCAACUAGCAAUUCUGCCCACUACAGGUUCUUUUCUUAUUUGGUCCCCUCUCCACACUAAACAUGUUGGAACUGUAUCCCCGUCUACUUGCUUUCAGGCACAGUCUUUUUUUUUUUUUUUUUUUUUUUUUUCAGUGAGUCCCAUACAUACACAACUUCCCCCAGUAAACUGGAAACUGUUUGGAGACCCUGAAAGGUCAUUCAAAAAAGAAUUCUUGACCUCAGUUUUUCAUUAAUUCAAUACAGGUUUAUUUAGUCCUCUUAUGCAGAAAGCACUGGAAACAAAGAAAUGGUCUCUGUCAUCUAAAUCAAUCUAUCUAUCUAUCUAUCUAUCUAUCUAUCUAUCUAUCUAUCUAUCUAUCUAUCUGUCUGUCUAUCGACAGAGUUUCGCUCUUGUUGCCCAGGAUGGAGUGCAAUGGUGCGAUAUGGGCUCACUGCAACCUCCACCUCUGGAGUAGCUGGGAUUACAGGCAUGUGUCACCAUGCCCGGCUAAUUUUGUAUUUUUAGUAGAGAUGGGGUUUCACCAUGUUGGUCAGGCUGGUCUCUAACUCCUGACCUCAGGUGAUCCGCCUACCUUGGCCUCCCAAAGUGUUGGGAUUACAGGUGUGAGCCACUGCACCUGGCCGGUCUCUGUCUUUUAGAACCUUAUGGUGAUGGAACACAGAGCAGGCACUUGCUGGCUAUUAGCUGACUGCCCAAAUGAAUGCACUAUCAGACACUGCAGGAAAAAGGAUAAAGAGAACACUUUCAAGUUUCUCUUUCUUCAGUUCUUUGCUACUCAUCUACUCUGUCUUUUAAUGGGCCUCUUCCACUUCCUCCUUCUGUGCCUCACCAUGGGUCACUGUGGUCAGGGAGACUCAGCUCUUUGGCCUAGUAUGUAAAUCUAAAAGCUGUGCAAUGGUUCUAUUUAAAUUGGAACAAUUCAUGCAGCCAGUCUUUACUGAACAUGUACGUGCCUAGGAAGUCUCAGGAAUGGGUAAGUGCUCCUGCUCCCACACAGUCUACAGACCUGGGUGCAAUGGUGAGAAAGACCUCAGUAAAGCAAAGGAAUUACGAAAGGGAGAGGGUGAGUAAACACUUGGAGAACAUAAUUUUUAUUACUGCAAGGGACAGACAGGGACUAGAAAUAAAUGGGCACCGAGAAAUCUCUUAAGGAGACUCCCAACUCAGCAUGGGAAGGUGCUCUUCACAAUCAAAGCCAGAUGCUGGAUGCCUGACCAAAGCCAAACUCACAGGAGCCUAGGCACAGAGCGCUGAACACUGGCUCUGGCAGCGGGAAGGAAUUAGAGCGCUUCUGCUUUUGCACCUGCUUUGCAGUUAGGAAGCAAGCUCUCUUCCUUGCCAGACUUCCCUUUGGGGCAGGACACUUUUCUUAUAUUCUUGAGGCAAGGCAAACAGUCAUAGGACAGUUAUUAAACAAUUAUAAAAUGUGUUUUCAUUGCUGGCACUGUGUUGAAGUGGAAAGUGCGAUGGUUGGGGAGGGAUGGGGCAAUCCUAACAGGCUGAAAUUGUAUCCGAGGUCAAAAGACCAGUAUGUAAUUUCUUAGAACUGUUUCUAAGACAUCUCCCUACUUCCACAGUUUUCUCCAGGUUUGGUAUUAAAGAGAACACUGCUGUGGCUCAACAGAAUAGGGAAAUUCAGAAAGCAAUGUUUCAUACUUGGACAUCUGGUGAUUGCAAUUUAAGUUUGUCAGAAGAGAAACCGUAAUUUGCAGUAGAUAUAUCAGGUUAGGCUGGGGACAGUGGGCAGGGCAGCGCUUCCAGGACUUACAGGCCUUCCAUGUGGCCUGGUACUGGGGAGAGAAUGGACUUUGGCAAAGUGUUAUUUAGGAUAGUGUUGUAUAAUUUAAACUCACAAAACUUAUUCAGAUAAAGCCCUUAAGGCUCUGUCAACACAGUAAACAGGUCAGAUCCCAGGUCUGAGAACCUCUGUGUUAUCAACUAGUCAGGUGGGGUCACUAAAUAUUGACUGAUGACAAGGGAUAGAGCCAACGUGAUUUAAAAGGGGGUAAUACCUUAAUUAUAAAGUGUAAACUUAGAACUGCUUAUGUCACCUAAAAACAUGUGAGUCUCUUCCACAUGAAUGAGGUCUGGCAAGGUGGCCAAAGCAAUGACAUAGCCACUGUAGUCAUUUACAUAAAAAUUUACACUCAAACUAGAUAAGCAUUUGCAAAUGAGGUUGAAAUUCAAAACUGCAGAAUUCAUCUGGUAAAUGUAAAUGAGUUUCCUUUUCUCUUCUUUUUUUUUUUUUUUUUUUUUUUUUUUUGAGAUGGAGUCUCACUGUGUCGCCCAGGCUGGAGUGCAAUGGCGCGAUCUCGGCUCAGUGUGACCUCCGCCUCCUGGGUUCAAGUGAUUCCCCUGCCUCAGCCUCCUGAGUACCUGGGAUUAUAGGCAUGCACCACCACAUCUGGCUAAUUUUUGUAUUUUUAGUAGAGGUGGGAUUUCACCAUAUUGGCCAGGCUGGUCUUGACCUCAGGUGAUCCACCUGCCUCGGCCUCCCAAAGUGUUGGGAUUAUAGGCAUGAGCCACCACGCCUGGCCUGGUAAAAUGAGUUUCAAAAGCAAUAUCAGACAAAUGGAAAAUGAAGUAGAACAUGGAUUAGAAACACCAACACAUAAACACUUCUAGAUUAAAUAGGAAGUUUUUUUGAGGUCAGUAAUUAAUUAAUACUCAUUAAUCAGGUAAAAAGUAUAAGGGAAAGAUAUGUAGAGAAACAUGAAUGCCUGAGUGUCAGUCUACAUUAUGUCAUUAAAAAGAAUAAAGGGUGGCUCACGCCUGUAAUCCCAGCACUUUGGGAGACCAAGGUGGGUGGAUCACCUGAGCUCAGGAGUUCGAGACCAGCCUGGCCAACAUGGUGAAACCCGUCUACUAAAAAUACAAAAAUCAGCUGGUUGUGGUGGCGGGUGCCUGUAAUCCCAACUACUCAGGAGACUGAGGCAGGAGGCAGGAGACUCACUUGAAUCCGGGAGGCAGAGGUUGCAGGGAGCCAAGAUUGUGCCACUGCACCCCAGCCUGGGCAACAGAGUGAGACUCCAUCUCAGACAAAAAAACAAAAAAACAAAGAAGGAGGGUCCUUGAUACUCCUUGAUUGAUCAGGGAUUGAGUCUAGUCACCAUGAUAUGCCAAAUAACUAAUGUGACACUUAGGAACUCAAUAGAUUUUUGUUAAAGAAACAAAAAAAUUAAUUUUAACCCUGCUUUAUUCCAAAAAAGGAUUAAGAUUUUUGUUGAAUGAAUUAACAGUGAUGUCACUUCUUAUGUAUGCUUCUUUAAAUUAUCAUUUCAGAUAGAAGAUAAAGUACAUAAUAGUUUCCUGAAGCAGCAGAAUGAAAGAACUCUCUGUGGCAUGAAAAUUUACUGUGAGAUGUAUUUUAAUUUAUGAGUAUCUCAGACCAUGUGGCUUGAUUGUCCAUCUGACUAACUGCUUCCGACUAUUUUAUGAGAGAAUUAAAUGCUAGCAUACUGAACAUCAAUAAAAGCAGACAACCCCUUUUAAAUUAAAAUUAGGAUUUUCUUUUCUUUUUUUUUUUUCUUGCUCUGUUGCCCAGGCUGGGGUGCAGUGGUGUGAUCUCGGCUCACUGCAACCUCCACCUCCUGGGUUCAAGCGAUUCUCCUGUCUCAGCCUCCCAAGUAGCUGGGAUUACAGGCGCGCACCACCACGCUCAGGUAACUUUUGUAUUUUUGGUAGAGAUGGGGCUUCACCACUUUGGCCAGGCUGGUCUCAAACUCCUGACCUCAGGUGAUCCACCCACCUUGGCCUUCCAAAGUGCUGGGAUUGCAGGUGUGAGUCACUGUACCUGGCCUAAAAUUAGGAUUCUAAAGGGUACUUUUAUGGGUUGAUGAAUAUAUAUUUCUAAUAGUAGGAAAACACUGAAAUUUUAACAGAAGUCAGUAAUUCCUGUGUAUGACCUUUCAGGUAUGCAUAUAAUACAAAAAUUAAGAUUACGUGGUAAUUCUUUUAGGAAGCUGGACACUAAAGGCAUGAGAUUUUCGACUGUGAAUUCUAGCCAAUGGAUAGAAAGGCAACAUUCCUAGAUUUGUGUUUGCAAAUUCUUCCUCCCAGUCUGAACAGCCUUAGCCUGUCAGACGGGUAAAUGAUAUUUAAGAACCUGGCAGGGGAUCCUACAGGGGCAGCAGUGUCCUGCUUAUUUUUCUGAAAUUACUGCUGCAAAUAUAAAGAAACUCAGGGUUUGGGAUCAGAGUUGCGGGCAUUAGCUCGUUCUGCUUAGCCCUUGAAUACAAGCAUCAGCGGUACACUAGAAGGCCACAGUGGCAUGCAUGGGGCUUGGGGUCAGUAGUUCUGGGGAUCACUAAGACAAUCCAACUGAAAGGCAAUGGUACAAGGUUACUUAGGGGAGAUACACUCUGGCUUCCCUGCAGUUUACAUAAACCUUUUGCCUUUUACAAAAAUCACACUGGGGCACUGGGACUUUCCCAUCUAUGCUUGGGUAAUAUUUGAGAACAUCUUUCUGAAAAGGGAGAUGUGACACAGGGAAGAGGUGAGUGGAUCCCCUAUUUUUUUUUUUUUUGAGACUGAGUCUUACUCUCUGACCCUGGCUGGAGUGCAGUGGUGUAAUCUCUGCUCACUGCAGCCUCCACCUCCUGGGCUUAAGCGAUCCUCCCACCUCAGCCUCCUGAGUAGCUGGGAUUAUAGGCACGUGCCACCGUGCCCGGCUAAUUUUUGUGUUUUUAGUAGAGAUGGGGUUUUGCCAUGUCAGCCAGGCUGAACUCCUGGCCUCAAGUGAUCCACCCAUCUUGGCCUCCCAAAGUGCUGGUAUUACAGGUGUUAGCCACUGCGCCCGACUGGAUACCCUAUUAUCUCCCAUCCCACAGGUGUACUAACUCCAUGGCAGCAGGGCUUUUAAAGCCCCACGAGGCUGCAGAUGUUACACAGGCCAUGUAUGUUUAAGUACAUCCCUGCUGUUUAGAUGAGGGGCUAGGUUGCUUAGCUGGGUAUCUGACAACUAUUAAGAGGGAUUUAGGCCACAUUUUUACAUAAGAUUUUCUUUAAAUAAGACCCAUUUAGACAUAAAAUAUUUCUGAGGAAAAAUCCUGCUAACAGGGUUAAUGUAGAAACAUAUCUAUGCAAAACAACCCAAAUACUCAGGGCCAAAGCUAGGGGGAAAAAACAACAACCACCACCACCACCAACACCACCAACAACUCAGCUCAUAACAAAACAGUAAUUGUCUUGAGCAAGUCAAAAUUCAGUUUAAAACACAAAUGCUACAUUUAUCCAAGUUGCUAAUGCCCACUAGCUUCAUUACUAAGAGACUGACUUAGAAUGCAGAAGUUGGAGAAAGUCUCUAAACUGAUAUUCUCCUGGGCUACCACUCCUGGGGUUAAGAUCCUUGUCACUUCGGGCCUGGAGGAUGAAAUUAGUCUCCUAUUAUCCUUUAGUUUCUUCCCACUCUAACUUGCCCUGCGCAUUUUCCUAAACUGUUAUUUUUAAAACCUCCAAUGACUCCACUUUAUCACAAGAUUAAAUUCACUCCUGUCAUCUGGCUUUGGGGGCACUCCACACUUUGUGAUUUUCUCUGGCUGUUAACUCGAUAUCAUACUACAAAAUGCAGGGAGUUCUCAGCAUCGCUGGGCAGGACCUGAGAAAGUAAUAGCAGGAGCAAGUAUCCUGGUAUUGCUGCUAUGUAACCAGGUAGAUAUUUCUGUUCGAUGCCAAUAAAAUUGUCCAGGGGGAGGGCAUUCAAAUGCCAACCAUGCCUUUCUUUGCUCAGGGGUACAGGGGUUGUAAUAUAACUUUCAACAACAAUAGAUAGACUUCAUAUGCCUGUAGUCCUAGCCACUCAGGAGGCUGAGGAAGGAGGAUCCCUUGGACCCAGCUCAAGCAAGGUUACAGUGAGCUAUGAUCACGCCACAAGAUAGACCUGACUUAUUAUGCAUGUAUUUAGUUCCCCAGUAUCCCAAACCUACAGCUAAUAUGCUAUCUUACUCUUAAUAUAGUGAAGUUACUGAUUAGAAUGGUUUAAUUAGGUUGGUUUGUGUGAUGGUUAUUUUUAUGUGUCAACUUUACCAGAUUAAAGGAUAGUCAGAUAGCUGGUAAAACAUAAUUUCUGGGUGUGUCUGUGAGGGUGUUUCCAAAAGAGAUUGGCAUUUGAAUCAUUAGACUGAAAAAAGAUCUGCCUUCACCAACAUGAGCAGCAUCAUCCAAUCCACUGAGGACUUGGAUAGAAGAAAUCGCUUGGGUGUAGCUCUAGUUUGUACAAUUUAAUUAUUAUACAAUUUCAUGGUAUAAAUAGGCUAUAACUUCAUAAUCCAUUCUACUGCUGAUGAUCAUUUGGAUUAGUUCCAAUGUUUGACUGUUGUGAAUAGUCAAUGCCCUCAGACAUGUGAGCUCCCCAGGUUCUUGGGCCUUUGGACUCUGGGACUUAAACCAGCAACCCAACACCACCCAUCUCCCAACCCACCUCCCAGAUUCGGAAUCACACCGUCAGUUCUCCUGGUUCUCAACCCUUCAGAGACAGACUGAAUUACACCACCAGCUUUCUUGGUUCUCCAGGAUGCAGAUGGCAUUAACAUGAGACUCCUUUACCUCCAUGACUGUGGAGGCAGCAGCUGAGGCUGUGGUGGGAGAAGAAUGACAAGAACUGAGCGUGGGCCACGGGCUCUUACCUUCAGCAACUUCAUCAGCUCUUCCAGCUGGACCAUCAGCUCCCGCCUGCUCUCCUGCAGGGCCGACAUCCUCUGCUCCAGUUCAUCCUUCCUUUGCCUAUCCAAGACG
rnacentral:lncRNA from 10 species